UACGGAGGAUGCAAGCGUUAUCCGGAAUGAUUGGGCGUAAAGCGUCCGCAGGUGGCUGUGUAAGUCUGCUGUCAAAGAGCAAAGCUCAACUUUGUAAAGGCAGUGGAAACUACACGGCUAGAGUGCAUUCGGGGCAGAGGGAAUUCCUGGUGUAGCGGUGAAAUGCGUAGAGAUCAGGAAGAACACCGGUGGCGAAGGCGCUCUGCUAGGCCGCAACUGACACUGAGGGACGAAAGCUAGGGGAGCGAAUGGG
rnacentral:rRNA from 1 species